UGGGGAAUUUUGGGCAAUGGCCGAAAGGCUGACCCAGCGACGCCGCGUGUGGGAGGAAGCCCUUCGGGGUGUAAACCACUGUCAGGGGGGACGAAAGAGCGAGGAGGGAAUACUUCUUCGCAGUGACGGUACCCCCAAAGGAAGCACCGGCUAACUCUGUGCCAGCAGCCGCGGUAAUACAGAGGGUGCAAGCGUUGUUCGGAAUCACUGGGCGUAAAGCGCGCGCAGGCGGAGAGGCAAGUCGGAAGUGAAAUCCAGCCGCUCAACGGCUGGGCUGCUUCGGAUACUACCUCUCUAGGGACCGGUAGAGGCUGGUAGAAUUGCAGGUGUAGCGGUGGAAUGCGUAGAGAUCUGCAAGAAUACCCGUGGCGAAGGCGGCCAGCUGGGCCGGGUCCGACGCUGAGGCGCGAAAGCGUGGGGAGCAAACAGG
rnacentral:rRNA from 1 species